rnacentral:rRNA from 1 species
CGAGUAGCUAAGUGCGGAAGAGAUAACCGCUGAAAGCAUCUAAGCGGGAAACUCGUUCCAAGAUGAGUCUUGCCGGGGCCUCGAGCCCCCUGAAGAGUCGUCCGAGACCAGGACGUUGAUAGGCCGGGUGUGGAAGCGCAGUAAUGCGUUGAGCUGACCGGUACUAAUUGCUCGUGCGGCUUGACCCU